GGAAAAGAAACCAACAGGGAUUGCCCUAGUAACGGCGAGUGAAGCGGCAACAGCUCAAAUUUGAAAUCUGGCUCCUUCUGGGGUCCGAGUUGUAAUUUGUAGAGGGUGCUUUGGCGUCGGCCAUGGUCUAAGUUCCUUGGAACAGGGCGUCACAGAGGGUGAGAAUCCCGUACGUGGCCGCUGGCCUUCGCCAUGUAAAGCCCCUUCGACGAGUCGAGUUGUUUGGGAAUGCAGCUCUAAAUGGGAGGUAAAUUUCUUCUAAAGCUAAAUAUUGGCCAGAGACCGAUAGCGCACAAGUAGAGUGAUCGAAAGAUGAAAAGCACUUUGGAAAGAGAGUCAAAAAGCACGUGAAAUUGUUGAAAGGGAAGCGCUUGCAGCCAGACUUGCCCGUAGUUGCUCAUCCGGGUUUCGGCCCGGUGCACUCUUCUGCGGGCAGGCCAGCAUCAGUUCAGGCGGUCGGAUAAAGGUCCCGGGAAUGUGGCUCUCUUCGGGGAGUGUUAUAGCCCGGGGCGCAAUGCGGCCAGCUUGGACUGAGGUCCGCGCAUCUGCUAGGAUGCUGGCGUAAUGGCUGUAAGCGGCCCGUCUUGAAACACGGACCAAGGAGUCUAACAUCUAUGCGAGUGUUUGGGUGUCAAGCCCGAGCGCGUAAUGAAAGUGAACGGAGGUGGGAACCCGCCAGGGCGCACCAUCGACCGAUCCUGAUGUCUUCGGAUGGAUUUGAGUAAGAGCAUAGCUGUUGGGACCCCGAAGAUGGUGAACUAUGCCUGAAUAGGGUGAAGCCAGAGGAAACUCUGGUGGAGGCUCGCAGCGG
rnacentral:rRNA from 1 species